rnacentral:misc_RNA from 1 species
GAUUAAUCCGAAUAGAUUUAAGCAUACAUGAGAUCGAAUAAACUUGGAAUUUAUUAUUUAUCUGGAGAUAACUCAGAUUACUACCAGUUCGGAGAAAAUGACCUGUGGCCAAGUAACAAGUUGAGAUCGGAUAAAACAUUAAUCAUGGGAGAUCGACUAAACUACAACCCUUAUUAAAAAUUGUAUAUUAACUACAUGAGUUAUGCCUUUUAAAGAUCAACUAAAAUAUGGUGUCUACGAGUGCUUAGGUCUGGAUCAAUGAAGCUCGGAGAUUGCUUCAUAUAAACAUCAUUAUGCAAAUCACCAUGCAAAAAGGCGUUGGAAACGUCAAUUUGUUGAAUGGGCCAAUCAUAACUAAAUGCAAGAUAAAGAAGGACGCGAAUCAUGGUUGGUUUGACAAUAGAUGAGAAAGUCUCUGCAAAUCAACGCCCGGACGUUGGUGAAAUCCUGUAGCCACUAGAUGGGCCUUCUAGCAGUCAAGAGAGCCAUCCUAUUUCUGCUUUAUUCCGUAGACCCAACGAUAUCCAAUUACAUUUUGGGCUUGACUUUGAGGCACUGGCUCCUAUGUUCCAGUCAUAAGAAGUGCUGAUAUUUCUUCAUUCAUAGCUUUCCUCCAAUUUGCAUCCAGGGCCGUUUUAGAAUAACAUGAUGGAAUGGGUGG